UUUCCUUUGUUGUAUGCAAGACAGAGAUAUAGAGAAGCAGUGAGAACAAUUAAUAAAUAAAAAUCAGUUAGCGCGCAAAUGAAAAAUAAAGCAUUAAGCAAUGAUGCUUUAAUAAUUUAAUUUAAUUUAAUUUAAUUUAAAUGCUAUAGAUGAUGAAUGAUCAUAUGGUUUUGUGAGUGAGAUGCUGUUUGAGUUGUUGCGCUGGUAAACCACUAUUGGAAAUGCUAGAAAAAUGGGUAGGGGUUUUGAUAUGACUUUAAGUCCGAAUCUGAAAACCGAACCAUUAAUUUUAAUAGCUAGGUAAAAAAGCCACACACAAUCAGAGAUUUUACCAAAACAAGACAUAAAAAAAUCACAUUAUGGAUAUGAGGCAACUGGAGUGUGGAAUUUAAGGAAAUAUGUUUAUAUAAUUAUGAGUUUUCAUUGAGCUACAAAACAGAAGAUAUAUUUCAUUGAAUAAUUUCUGUAGUGAUGACCCACUUUAAAAAAAAAAAAAUUUGAAAGUAGAGUAAACAAAAUGGAAUAUGCCAUUUUUAAAAUACACACUAGAAUGAUCCACACUAGCUAUGGUGAUCUUAAAGUAUAUAUACAUAUCUUCUUAAAUCUUGAAAGUUUUGCUUAUCAGAUCUUUAACGCGCUCCAGUACGAAAAAAUGGCAUGCUUAAAACAACAAUACAAUAAUGUGAUGAGUAAUAAUAUGGGUUAUUAAAAAAGUAAAUUGGAGAAACAAAAAAAUUAAAACAUUGGAAGAGUGUAUAGUUCUCACGGUUUUGCGUUUUAUGUGUUUGAAUUUACAAAUUUCAGUGAUCUUCGCUAUCUUGACAAGUUGCACAAUGGAAAUUGGCACUGCGACCAUGAGUAAAAUAGUUUGAAUUUCAUUUCCAAAUUUAGUUGCGAUGUUUGCGAACAAAUUACUGAGUGAUUUGAAUGUAGAGCAAAGAUGAUUAGUUAGAAGAAACAGAUAGAGGGAAAAAAGAGAAGAGUUAAUAAUUGAAAUAAAAUAAAAAUAAAAAAAGGGAAAUAAGAAAGCAAAAAAAAAAAUUUUAUUAGCUCUUGAAAAUGUGGAUGAAGCACUUCCAAAUAGUAAAAUUUGAUUAGGUAAACAAACCGAAAAGAAUAAAAUGAAUGCCACCGAAAAAAAAAAUGUAUGCAAAAA